CUCAGAGUUACGUUGGCGGCGUGCGUAACACAUGCAAGUCGAACGAGAACCGGGGAGCUUGCUCCCCGGGGACAGUGGCGAACGGGUGAGUAACACGUGAGUAAUCUGCCCUCGAGCGGGGGAUAACUCCGCGAAAGCAGAGCUAAUACCGCAUGAAACUUUGGAGCAUAAGCUUUCAAAGUCAAAGCUUUCGGGUGCUUGAGGAUGAGCUCGCGGCCUAUUAGCUUGUUGGUAGGGUAACGGCCUACCAAGGCAACGAUGGGUAGCCGGCCUGAGAGGGUGUUCGGUCACACUGGGACUGCGACACGGCCCAGACUCCUACGGGAGGCAGCAGUGGGGAAUUUUGCGCAAUGGGCGAAAGCCUGACGCAGCGACGCCGCGUGGAGGAUGAAGGUUUUCGGAUUGUAAACUCCUGUCAGAGGUGAAGAAAGCCCUUAUGGGUCUGACGGUAACCUCAGAGGAAGCCCCGGCUAACUACGUGCCAGCAGCCGCGGUAAUACGUAGGGGGCAAACGUUGCUCGGAAUUACUGGGCGUAAAGGGUGCGCAGGUGGCUGAGAAAGUCGUUGAUGAAAUCCCGGGGCUUACCCCCGGAACUGUCUUCGAUACUUCUCAGCUUGAGGAUAGUCGAGGAGAACGGAAUUCCCGGUGUAGUGGUGGAAUGCGUAGAUAUCGGGAGGAACACCAGUGGCGAAGGCGGCUCUCUGGUCCAACCCUGACGCUGAGGUGCGAAAGCGUGGGGAGCGAACGGGAUUAGAUACCCCGGUAGUCCACGCUGUAAACGAUGGAUACUACGUGUGGGAGGUUACUUACCCCUUCCGUGCCGUAGCUAACG
rnacentral:rRNA from 1 species